GACGAACGCUGGCGGCGUGCUUAACACAUGCAAGUCGAACGGAAAGGCCCUGCUUUUGUGGGGUGCUCGAGUGGCGAACGGGUGAGUAACACGUGAGUAACCUGCCCCUGACUUUGGGAUAACUUCAGGAAACUGGGGCUAAUACCGGAUAGGAGCUCCUGCUGCAUGGUGGGGGUUGGAAAGUUUCGGCGGUUGAGGAUGGACUCGGGGCUUAUCAGCUUGUUGGUGGGGUAGUGGCUUACCAAGGCUUUGACGGGUAGCCGGCCUGCGAGGGUGACCGGCCACAUUGGGACUGAGAUACGGCCCAGACUCCUACGGGAGGCAGCAGUGGGGAAUAUUGCACAAUGGGCGGAAGCCUGAUGCAGCAACGCCGCGUGCGGGAUGACGGCCUUCGGGUUGUAAACCGCUUUCGCCUGUGACGAAGCGUGAGUGACGGUAAUGGGUAAAGAAGCACCGGCUAACUACGUG
rnacentral:rRNA from 1 species